rnacentral:lncRNA from 1 species
AACUCCCUCCCAGCCCCCCAGUACACCUCCACGCCAUCUGUGCCAACCUGCCGUCUCUCCGUCAGACAGUUUGCAGGUUCCGCCGUGCGUGGCAGGCCUACAGCUGUGCAGACAGCCAGCCCAACAUCUGUGUGUCCUGUGGGACAGACGGGGGGGAAUGUCCCGUUGAUCGACUCAGCUGCUGCUGGCCUUAAACACAGCCACUGGCCGGCAGUUCUGUGGACAGGUGCCCUGUUUUAUUGCGUUGUGCCUGUAGAGUCCUGCUGGGUGUGGAUCAGUGUGGAGAGCCAAUAGCAGGCCGGCAGGCGGGUGGUGGUCAGUGGUCAAUGAGGCAGGGUGGGGUUACUGUGUCAUAAUCACAAUAAAGGAAAGGCUCAGCACUUCUUUAUUUGCACACAGAAAACACACCUAAAAUCAUCAUACAAAUUUCAGUAAUUAUAAACAGGCAAAACCACUGACGUUUCUCAAAUUUUCCUCUGAACAGAGAUCAGAAGAGAUCAGUGUGUUUUUUUUUCAGCACCGCACUGGACGUGCUGCUUGAGAGGAUGACAUCUGAAUGAAGACUCUGGUGCACUGAGCCUUUAGACUCUGAGCAUUCAAUAUAUAUGAUCAAUACAUGGAUUCCCACCAGCAGAUAACACCCAUUGCCUUGCAGAGGAACAUCCGGACAUCCGGUAAGAUUCUGUCAUUUAUUGUAAGCCACAUUCCAGAUGAAAUGAAGCAGCAUGUGAGUAGAGUCCAGGGAGAGCUGCAGGCAUGUGUGCUUUUGUAAGGGAUUCUCCAGCCCAACAGCUGAACCAGCUGCAAGAGCGGCAGCUCCGGU